ACUGCUCAGUAACACGUCGAUAAUCUGCCCUUGAGUCCGGAAUACCCUCGCGAAAGUGAGGCUAACACUGGAUAGGGGAAUUCUACUGGAAUGUGUUUUCCUUUAAAGUUUACGCUCAAGGAUGAGUUGGCGGCGGAUUAGCUAGUUGGUGGGGUAAUGGCCCACCAAGGCAUGGAUCCGUAGGGGCCUUGGAAGAGGUAGCCCCGAGAAGGACACUGAGAUACUGGUCCUAGCCCCACGGGGUGCAGCAGGCGCGAAACCUUUACACUACACGAAAGUGUGAUAAGGGAAUUCCAAGUGCUUAUACACAAGUAUAAGCUUUUUAUGAGAGCAAAAUUCUCGUAGAAUAAGUGGUGGGUAAGACCGGUGCCAGCAGCCGCGGUAAUCCCGGCGCCACAAGUAGGGAUCAGGGUUAUUGGGUCUAAAGCGUCCGUAGCAGGUCAAGAAAAUCUCUUGUGAAAUCGUUGGGCUUAACCUAACGGCGGGCAGGAGACACUUCUCGACUAGGGACCGGGAGGGGUUAGGGGUAUUCCUUGGGGAGCGGUAAAAUGCUAUAAUCCUUGGAAGACCACCUGUGGCGAAGGCGCCUAACCAGAACGGGUCUGACUGUGAGGGACGAAAGCCAGGGGAGCAAUCCGGAUUAGAUACCCGAGUAGUCCUGGCUGUAAACGCUGCGAGCAAGGUGUUGCGUAUUCUAACAUGAAUACGCAGUGUCGAAACGAAGGUGAUAAGCUCGCCACCUGGGAAGUACGGUCGCAAGACUGAAACUUAAAGGAAUUGGCGGGGGAGCACUACAAGGGGUGCGGCGUGCGGUUUAAUUGAACUCAACACCGGAAAUCUCACCAGAAGCGACGGUAGAAUGAAGAUCAGUCUAACGGGCUUAUCUAACGAGCCGAGAGGUGGUGCAUGGCCGUCGUCAGCUCGUGCUGUGAAGUGUCCUGUUAAGUCAGGCAACGAGCGAGACCCCCGCC
rnacentral:rRNA from 1 species